rnacentral:rRNA from 1 species
GACGUAGGAGGCGAGCGUUAUCCGGAUUCACUGGGCGUAAAGCGCAUGUAGGCGGUUGGAUAAGUCUGUUGUUAAAGCCCCCGGCUCAACUGGGGGAGGUCAAUGGAGACUGUCCGACUUGAGGGCAACAGAGGCACAUGGAACUCCCGGUGUAGCGGUGGAAUGCGUAGAGAUCGGGAAGAACACCCGUGGCGAAGGCGGUGUGCUGGGUGCAAC